CUAAGAAUAUUCCGCAAUGGGGCGAAAGCCUGACGGAGCGACGCCGCGUGGAUGAUGAAGGCCGGAAGGUUGUAAAGUCCUUUUAUGACAGAGGAAUAACCGGGGCAGGGAAUGGCACCGGGGUGACUGUAGGUCAUGAAUAAGCACCGGCUAAUUGCGUGCCAGCAGCCGCGGUAACACGUAAGGUGCGAGCGUUUGUUCGGAAUUAUUGGGCGUAAAGGGCAUGUAGGCGGACCUGCAAGCCUGGUGUGAAAGGCGGGGGCUCAACCCCUGGACUGCGCUGGGAACUGCAUUACUAGAGUCGCUGAGGGGCAAUCAGAAUUCCAGGUGUAGGGGUGAAAUCUGUAGAUAUCUGGAAGAAUACCAAUGGCGAAGGCAGGUUGCCAGCAGAUGACUGACGCUGAGGUGCGAAGGUG
rnacentral:rRNA from 1 species